ensembl:snRNA U4 U4 spliceosomal RNA
UGCUUUGAACAAGGGCAGUACCAUAGUCAGUGCAGUUUCUUUAGGUGAGAUAAUUGCUAAUUGAAAACUUUCCCCAAUAUCCUCCCAUGUCAAUUUACAAUAUAGCCAGCAUGAAUUUUUGAGAGUCUUUAAGGAGG